ensembl:lncRNA
CCCGCAAACACUUUCGGAUUCUGAGACAGUCAGAGAGACACACAGAGAACGAGAGCAAUUCUUAAAGACUUGUUUUUAAUUUUGGUUCAUGUAACAUAUUUGAUUAGUAUGGUUUGAUUAGCCUUUUUGUUUCAAUUAAUAAAUGUUUUAUUUUUGCUGCUUAUCAUUCUGCUUUGAGCAGGAAGGCUCUUAAGAUGACAGAUUGUGCUCCAUUCAGAAGUGACUAUGCCCUACUCCCUCCAAAGGCUCCAAAACUCACAGUGCAAACGCCCACCCCUUUGCAAGAUCAAAAUAACAACCAGUUGGAAAACACUAACAAUUUUUCAGAGCUAAAGUCAUGUUUUGUUGUUGCACAAAAACUGUCACCACUAACUAACAACAUAUUAUGCAAAGGAGGACUUCCAGUAAGAUGGCGGACUUAGAAGUCACAAAAUUUCUGUAUUUGAGUAUUGCUUCUGCUUUUACUUAUUAUUUCUAUUUAUUUGUGUAUGCAAUGGACAUGGUAUCUUAGCACAAGGUUAAUUUGUUUUUAAUUAAGUCCAUUAGUGACCUAGAAUGUUGAUAGCCAAUACAAAAAUGGCCGUCGUUCGGGGUGUUCUAACAUCCAUGGUGGAUAAAUAAUGGAAGCAAAAUAAUGUUGGUUUAAUACAUUGUUGACUGUCCAAUGGAUAUAUAUAGACUCAUCCUUCUUUCCAUAGGACCAAACUCACUUGUGGUACCCCGCAAAUUAGUUAUGGAUAGUCACCAUUACGAAUGAUGCAUUUUGUGAUUCAAGUCAGGACUGUAUAUGUUUAAGAUUGUUCCGGGCAUUUGUUCAUGUAUAAGGGUGACAAUGUUCUGUUUACAUUGGUUCUUAGUGCGUGCAUCAUCAAUAACAUAUACAUCCAUCCUUUUUUCAGUACCACUUAUCCUACACAGGGCUGCAGGGAGCCUGGACAGGGUGCCAACCUAUUGCAGGGCACAAUUGCACACACACUCACACACCCAUUCACAUACUACAGACAAUUUAGAGAUGCCAAUGAGCCUACAAUGCAUGACUUUGGACCAGGGGAGGAAACCGGAGUACCAACAGAAAACCCCCACAGGAUGGGGAGGACAUGCAAAUUCCACACACACAUGGUGGAAGUGGGAAUCAAACCCCCAGCCCCAGAGGUGCAAGGCAAAUGUGCUAACCACUAAGCCACUAUGAAAAUGAAAUUGCUUCAGCCAAGCCUUUAGGGCUAUUCCAUCUAUUGAUGAUCAUGCUUUGACCAUUGAGGGAAUUUUUAUUGUGUUUUAGACACUUCCCUAGAAAGACUCAAUUAGUUAGUUAACCCUCCAAAUCUGCCGUAGUUAUACAGGAUAUUUGUGAGCAAUAUGGAUUACAUCCUCCAAGGUAAUCUCUUUUUCAUCUCCAGUACACCAUUCAUAUAGAUUUUUUUUUUUGAUAAAUUGAUUAUUCAAAUUUAACCCCCCAGGAUGUAAAUGAUAAUUUUGCUCAAUAUUUCUCAUCUUUGUACACCUCAGAAUAUUCUAAUACUACUACUCUCCUUGACUCCUUUUUUUGUAAAGCUAAAUUUGCUCACUGUCAGUCUCAGCUCUGAACUUUAUAGUCCUAUUUGUCAACAGGAAGUUAUUGUGGCUAUGCAGAGCGGUAAGGCACCUGGGCCUGAUGGCUUCCCUAUAAAGUUCUACAAGAAGUUCUCAGCUUUGAUGAGUCCACUUAUUGUAGCCAUAUAUAAUGAAGCUUUUGACAAAGGCUCUCUCUCCGACUCUUACACAGGUA